rnacentral:sRNA from 16 species
GUCAGCACCCCGCUCUAAAGAGCAGGGGCCGAAGCGCCUCUCUCUUAGAUAGCUGACCUGCCUAAGUCUUGUUGGACUACGUUUUUAGAGUUAUGACACCUACAAAUGCUUGACCGUUUGUAGCUAGUC